AAUCGACAAUUAUUUUCGGCUUAUAAAUUUGCACAGCUUCUAACACAGCAAAUCACAACAUAUUCCAGAGAUGUAUGGGUUGCAGAACAAAGCUGCACACCUGAAUAUAGAAUGUCUAAAAAAUACUUAUUAAUCGUUAUCCUAAUUUUACUGCCAGUCUUCGCCAGUGUUGCAGUCGUAAGAAGAUCCCGAGUCUUUUGCAAAGGAAAACGGGGAUGGGGCCAUUGCAUGGCAAUGAAUCAGACAUGUCAACUUAGACGCUAUAAGGACAGAUUUUGCAAAGCCAACACUGUGUGUUGUGCAACGUAAUAAAUUGAAGAGAACUUUUGAAAUAAAAUAAAAAAUAAUUAGUUUCCCACAGUUAAUUAAUUUAUUUAAUGUAGUUUUUUCCACAGUUUACAAAGGAAUUAACAAAGAACCAAAUAUUACACAUUUGCUUCUCAUUAGAGUCGGAAUGGUUAUUUUUGAGAUAUUUUAUAUUCUGGUUUUACUUCUACUCCUCGCCCCUGACGACACUGAAAGUAAACUCCGAUAUAUAAUUUGCAAGCGCAGGAAGGAAAGAAAUUGGGGACGCUGCAUUAUAAAAGGUUCUGAAUGUCGUGGUGUAAUCCAUCUUAAUCGUGUUUGCAACUCGCCCAUUGCCCACUGCUGUGUUCUCCCUCCUGGACAAUCCUGGGAAAAAAAAUCAUAUGAAGAAGAAAACAACAGCAACUGAAACUGAUUAUCUAACCACCCUUCCGCAAAGCGAACAACUAAGCACUUCAAAACCAAAAUAAGAAGAAUAUUUUUAACACUUUGGAAGUUUUAUAAACUAAAUAUAUUCACACAAAAUUAAGUUAGCACCGCUGAAAAUAUAUGGUGAUGGCGACUAAAUAAAUA